UACGUAGGGGGCAAGCGUUAUCCGGAAUUAUUGGGCGUAAAGAGUGCGUAGGUGGUUACCUAAGCAGGGGGUGAAAGGCACUGGCUUAACCAAUGUCAGCCCCCUGAACUGGGCUACUUGAGUGCAGGAGAGGAAAGUGGAAUUCCUAGUGUAGCGGUGAAAUGCGUAGAUAUUAGGAGGAACACCAGUGGCGAAGGCGACUUUCUGGACUGUUACUGACACUGAGGCACGAAAGUGUGGGGAGCAAACAGG
rnacentral:rRNA from 1 species